rnacentral:lncRNA from 1 species
AGGCUCCCGGCUGGGUGGUGGGUGCUGUGUGUAACCCUCGUGUUGUGGAAAGGAGUGCAGUGUGUGUCCUUGUCAUGCAGCCGCCUCCCUGUCUGCAGGCAGGUGUCGGGGCAGUGCCGCGGCUCCUACGGUCAGCCUUUGAUGGACGGGCCUGGAUUAGAACCCUCUGGGUCAGUGGCUUGUCUGCUGGCCUCUGCCUGCUUUAGUCCAGCUGCUGUCCUCUUGCCUGGACACCCCCUCUGCCCCCCAUGUCAGUAAUCAGCUGAAGCCUCCUGCCGUCUGUCUCACCUGCUCAUCUGUCUGCUGGUGUCGCCCCCGAGAGCUCGGCCGAUCGUCUGAGCCAAGAGCCAAGAUUCUGUCCCCAUGUGGGCGACUCUGUCUCGCCACCCCCUGACUUCCGUGGCGCCUUUUCGGGGUUGCCGUUGGAACAUUCAGUGUGGGCCGUCUUGCUUUUCCUCCCUGAGCAGGGCUUGGAGGGGAAGGCAUGUUUAAGGGCGGUGGUCUUUGGACGUGGCUGGGACACUGCAGGCCUUGGGGACCCGAGUCGGCUCAUCUAGUGCAGGGGCUGGGGCUGGAUGCUGUCCUGCAGGUGCCCACGGGUGAGUGUGGUUGAAUGAGGACUGUGAGUUGUAGAGAACGUGGCUCUGGGAGGCUGGCGAGCGCACGGUCAAGGUUGAGCAGCAGGUGCCGGCUGCAGCAGGACGGGAACAGCUACAGCGGCUCCUCAAGAGCCCCACCGCCCCCAUGGAAGCACCAGCCACACGGGGCAGGCAGCACCCGCGGGGAGUCCAGCCGAGAUGUGUGCGACUGAAGUUCUUAGGCGUCUAGGUUUCCAAAACUUAGUACAACGGAAGAAGGGCGUUAAGGUGCCCUGUUGAUGGUUUCAGCACUGGCUGUGCUGCAGCAGGAUUCCAGGUGUACUGGGUUCAGCAAAACCCACCCAGUUCAUUUCACCGUUAUUUUUCUGCUGCAGCUACUGGGCCGUGUGAGUGGCACACGUGGCACAUUCCAGGCCCCCAGACCACGGCUCUCCCCACGUGGUCCCUGGACCGGCCUCUGGUGUGAGUGUGCGAGAGAUGCGGGAUCUUGGGGCCCAGCGCUGGGUUUUCACAAGCCCUCUGGGUGUUCCUAAUGUGGGUGGGUUUGGCUCUUGGGGACACCUGGCCAUUUUAGGUGGCCAUCACCAGAUGCUGCUGGCACCUCGUGUGUCGGGUGCUGGGUGCUGCUGUGUGGGGCAGCCCCUGGCGGAGGAGAGCGUGACCGGCCGUGGUGGGUGGGAGGUGGAGACGCUGGUCUGCAUGGUGGGGGCAGCUCUGGCCCCCCCGCUGGCCCCCAGGGGUUAAAGCAGGCCGUUCUCCGUGUGGCUCCGUCUCACACAGGACACGCACCACACGCGGCGGGAAACGCGGGCUCCUGCUCGGGCUUGGAGAUGGGGGGGCGACUGCCAUCGACUCUGGCUUCUGCCGUGGCGAUCGCUCUUGUUUCCGCCAAGACUCAGGGCAAAGGCGAGGAGGAGGGGCUCAAGUUGGCGUCUGGUUGCCAGCAGGUGGCUCUCGCCUCCCCAGCAGCGGGCGAAGUCAGGCGUUGAGAUCAGUGACCGGUGUGGCCCCGUGGCAGGUGCCGCGCCGUCACAGGUCGGCUCUUGGGAGCAGCGUGGAAGCUGGAGUUGCCUCUCUCCUGGGCCAUGUGCCCGCCGGCCCGUCUGGAGAGCCGGCUGUGGGUCCAGCGUGCGGGCAGGGGCGCGUGGGAGGGAGAUGAGGAGCGGCCCCUCUGCUGCUGGCGUUGCUUCCUCUGCCCGUGGGAGUUGUCUUGGGCACGUUUCUCGAGGCGGGCCGUGUCACUUGUCAACAGUACGUGUUGCGGCACGUGGUCCCAGCACCCAGGACGUUUCAGGGUGGCCCUGUCACGGUCCAGCCUCUAUCCUGAAGCAAACCGUCGCUCGAGACACCGGGUAAAAGGGACCAUUGAUCCGCGUUCUCGCGUGUCUGUGCCAGAACCUCCAGGAAGUCGGUAGGGCCUAAAGCCCGCUCCGAGGCGGCCGGCCGGGCAGGCAGGCGCCGGGCCGGGCAGCAGGGGCCGUGGUGCCACGCGGCCUGUGUGGACCUGACGUUUCCUCUCUCUGCCCACGUUCAUCCCCAGGUUCACUUUAACCGGGACGGCUCCCUGAUCGUGUCGAGCAGCUACGACGGCCUCUGCCGGAUCUGGGACACCGCCUCGGGCCAGUGCCUGAAGACGCUGAUCGGUGAGUGCUGCGGCCCGGGGACCCGGGCUCAGCCGUGGCGGCCCUCCCCGCGCCCGGCCCUCCGUCCUCAGAGGCUUUCCCUCCGGGCGGGGCCUCCUCUCCUGACCGCCUCCACCUCCUCCAGCCCCUUCCUGAGGAACCACCGUCCAGCCUGCUUGGGGCUGCCUGGCGGGUGGGGGUCCUCUGGGGGACCCGUGAGUCCCUGGACGCUGCUCAGGUCACUCCCUGAGCAGGUGGGGUUGAGCCUGGGCCCUCAGCGAGCCCCAUCUGCCCGGAGAGCCUCGGGUGGGUGGGCCUGGGGGAGAGGCCCCAAGGCCUCCACAGGCUGUGCCUCGAGUAAGGGGCGGAAUGGAGCCACAAGAGCGCAGCCUGGGUGGCAGGUGCUCUGUGUGGCCCCAAGGUGGCCAAUGCGCCCCUGUGGGCCUCGGGCCUGGGAAGGUGACGCAGGAACCCUGGGGGGGCGAAUCGGGUGGGUGUCGCUGUUGGAGGCCUCACCUGAGUCAGCCUGGAAGGUCUCUGUGGCCUCAGGUGGAUCCUAGAGCAGGUAGGCUGGUGUGAGGGCAGGGGCGCCGCCUGAGCCCCCAAAGUGCUGCAGGCCAGGUGGCUUAAGCAGCAGAAACCUGUCCCCACGUCCUGGAGGCCAGAGGUCCAGGGUCCAGGUGUGGGCAGGGCUGGCUUCUCUUGCAGCCCCUCCUUCUCUGAGUGUCCUUACACUGCUGGCCUCUGCGUGUGCCCCGCUGGGCCGCGUGUCCUCCUCCUGUAGGGACGGCAGUCACCUGGCCUCUGGUCACCCUGACUGCCUCGUUGACGCCUCCUUCUUGGAGGCCUGUCUCCAGGUGGCCCUGCGUCUGAGGUGCUGGGUUAGGGCUUCAGCGUGAGAAUUCCGGGAGGGACCGUUGAGACUAGACCUUGGCCUCUGCCGUUUUCCUGCUUCUUCUGACGUGCAGUCCUCCUCUGACUGUGACAUCGCCCUCAUCUGUCACCACGCCCAUCCCAUCCCCAGAAGCAGGGUGUAGCCACGUGCGCCCAGCGGGGCAGCGUCCCUGUGCAGCCCUGCUUGGCCCAGGCUGUUGGGUUACCUGGUGAAGCCCCUGUGCAACCCCACAGCCAGGCAGGAUGCUGAGGCCUGGAGAUGUGGAGUCCUGGCUGGGAGGUGGGGACGGCAGGGAGUGGUUCCUGGCCCCACUUCUAACCUCAGGUCCAGGGAAUUGGGCGCCUGGGGCUUGGCAGGACAGCCCUGUGUUGCCUUGCUGGCAGUGCUCACCCUGACCUCUGGGCACCGCCUCCCUCAUCCAUCCUGAGUGGCCCCUGUGGCCCAGGGGUGGCCCUCAUGUGUCUUCUCAUGUGCCUUUGCGGUGUCUGGGACCCGUCAGGUGCUCCUGGUGCCCCGAGGUGGUAAUGCGGUGCCUGCCCAGUGCCCCGGUGCUGGGGACACAGCCCCGCCGGCUCCCGCUGCCCGGUGCCACCCCGGCUGCCCUCCUGUUCAGGCAGAUGGGGGGCGGGGGCGUCCUGCAGCCAGAGCACUUUCUGAAUGUGCCGCCUCUUUUCCAGCUGCAUCCUCAGGGCCCGGGGUGCACCCUGGACCCCAAGGGUCAGAACCAGGGUGUGGGUGUAACAGCAAAGGGUGACUUCUAGGGCGACUUCAUGCCUCUUCUACUCUGACCACGGAGCUGGCAGGUGCCUGAGAGGGUUCACCCGGGCUGCCGCCUUCCCAGUGGGCUGCGAUUUGCAAGCUCCCUCCUGGGGGUUGAUCCCGGGGCCUCUCCUGUACCCUGUGGAAGAGGCCUGGCUACCCGAGAGCCCCUGGCCACCAGGCCUUUGCACCCGAAGCCCUGUGUCAUGGGGUCACUGGGAGCCUGGCUCACGCUGGCACGAACAGUGGGUGAGGGAGGGUGGCCGGCUCUCGGGGAUCCCCCUGUUGGCACAGGUGGCAGUGGCUGCACUGGGCGACACGUGGUAGGGGAGCGCCACCCCACCCGAGAGCCAGUGCCCGGCGUGGCAGCUGUCUCUGUGCUCCAUGCAGAUGACGACAACCCGCCCGUGUCCUUCGUGAAGUUCUCUCCGAACGGCAAGUACAUCCUGGCCGCGACCUUGGACAAGUAAGCCCUCUGUCCCCGUGCGGGUGGGUUACCAGGGCCAUCGCCCCAGGGCCAGGAUCCCAGAAAGACACCCUCUCCAGUGCCCGCACGGAGCCUGCUGGGUGCAGGCUGCCGAUGCAGGCACCCUGCUGGGAUGGUGGGCAUGGCGGCCUCCCGGUGCUGCCCGCUCUGCCCGGGCGCCCUGCUCCUGACACGCUUCGGGUGGGUGUCCCGGCCGUCCACUGCCCUCCUGGAGGCGGCUGGCGCUCGGCCUCCCCGGGCACUGUGGGAGCCCUCGGGUGGGCUCACAGGGUCGGCCCCCACAGGAGGAGGAAGGACUGUCCGCCGAGGUCUGUUCUGGACGUGUCCGCAAUGGGGCUUCCUGAGCCCUUUUCUCGCAGGGACGUGGACCCCUUCCCGGCUCGGGGAACGCUUAGUAGCUUCCUUUAACCAAGCCUCUUGGGGAGUUAACGUGUGGCUCGACAGGUUAAGGACUUGGCACUGCAGUAGCUCAGGUUCGAUCCCUGGCCCAGGAAUUUGCACACGCCUCGGCCGAGGCCAAGUGAAAAACAGUGUCUUGGGGUUCCCGCGCUCUGCUCCCAGGUGUCCUUGCUCUGUGGACCCUGGGCUGGGCGCGGGCACCGGAGAGGGUGGGUCCUCGGGGGCUCGGCUGACACGCCCUCUCCCCGCAGCACGCUGAAGCUCUGGGACUACAGCAAAGGGAAGUGUCUGAAGACGUACACCGGCCACAAGAAUGAGAAGUACUGCAUAUUCGCGAAUUUCUCUGUCACUGGCGGGAAGGUGAGUCAUGUCCCUGCUGGGGGUUCUCCCCGGCCCCUCUGGGGCGCUUUUUAACCCAGUGCAGCCCCGCUGGUGGCAUCCUCAGCGGGCCUUCCCAUUGCGUCCUCUUCAGGGCCACAGGCUCCUUUGUGAUGCCGAGGGUGUCAGCACCUUCUGGGAGUCAGGGACCCUGGCAGGCUCUGGCGUCUGGUCCCCGGGGCUCCCCGCCUCUCAGGCUCAGGCUGCAGGGGAGAUGGUGACGGCAGCCCUGAUUGGAGGAAACAGUUUAUGUCCUAGAAGUGGCGGGUGCUGGUGCGGCAUCGGGACAGGAGAUGGGCGGGGACCCACACGGGUAGGGGUGCUGGUACUGCUGGUCCCCAGGCACGCGCCUGACACCCUCCCGCCCCGUGACAGUGGAUCGUGUCGGGCUCGGAGGACAACUUGGUUUACAUCUGGAACCUGCAGACGAAAGAGAUUGUGCAGAAGCUGCAGGGCCACACGGACGUGGUCAUCUCGACGGCCUGCCACCCCACAGAGAACAUCAUCGCCUCGGCCGCGCUGGAGAACGACAAGACCAUCAAGCUCUGGAAGAGCGACUGCUAGGCCCGCGGGCGCGGGGCUGUCGGGACGCCCAGCCGGGCUGGCGAGAGCUCGGUGCUCGAGGGGCUCCCUGGUCCAGGCCUGGGGACUGGAGGCGCCUGGGCCUGCGCCGCCUCCGAGGACGGCUUGGCCGAGGGCCGUGUCCCCCGCAGAGGUUCUCGGAGCUGCCGGUGGCGAUUCUUGCCAAUGCCUGUCUUGUUGGCUGGGGAAGAGUUAGAGUCUGUAUUGUGUUCGGAGGCCACAGAAAUUUCUAAUUUUUUAUUACAAAAGGUGAAG